GGAAAUUAAGAAACCGUUUCUUAACUUUUUACUAAAAAAAGCUAAGAAUCAGUUUUUAAAUAAAGACUUUAAUAACCGAUUCUUCGCUUUUUUAGUUAAAAAUUAAGAAACAGUUUCUUAACUUCC
rfam:Brassica oleracea var. oleracea cultivar TO1000 chromosome C9, whole genome shotgun sequence